AUUGAACGCUGGCGGCAUGCUUUACACAUGCAAGUCGAACGGCAGCGCGGGCUUCGGCCUGGCGGCGAGUGGCGAACGGGUGAGUAAUACAUCGGAACGUGCCCAGUAGUGGGGGAUAGCUCGGCGAAAGCCGGAUUAAUACCGCAUACGACCUGAGGGUGAAAGCGGGGGGUCUUCGGACAUUGCGCUCUUGGAGCGGCCGAUGCCAGGUUAGCUAGUUGGUGGGGUAAAGGCCUACCAAGGGGACUAUCGGUAGCUGGUCUGAGAGGACGACCAGCCACACUGGGACUGAGACACGGCCCAGACUCCUACGGGAGGCAGCAGUGGGGAAUUUUGGACAAUGGGCGAAAGCCUGAUCCAGCAAUGCCGCGUGUGUGAUGAAGGCCUUCGGGUUGUAAAGCACUUUUGGCGGGAACGAAAAGGACUGUGCCAAUACCACGGUUCGAUGACGGUACCCGCAGAAUAAGCACCGGCUAACUACGUG
rnacentral:rRNA from 1 species